CCUACGGGGGGCAGCAGUGGGGAAUAUUGGGCAAUGGAGGAAACUCUGACCCAGCAACGCCGCGUGAAUGAUGAAGGUCUUCGGAUUGUAAAGUUCUUUUCUAAGGGAAGAAGAAAGUGACGGUUCCUUAGAAAUAAGCCUCGGCUAACUACGGGCCAGCAGCUGCGGUAAUACGUAGGUGGCAAGCGUUGUCCGGAUUUACUGGGUGUAAAGGGCUUGUAGCCGGGCUGACAAGUCAGAUGUGAAAUCCGGGGGCUCAACCCCCGAACUGCAUUUGAAACUGUUGGUCUUGAGUAUCGGAGAGGCAGGCGGAAUUCCUAGUGUAGCGGUGAAAUGCGUAGAUAUUAGGAGGAACACCAGUGGCGAAGGCGGCCUGCUGGACGACAACUGACGGUGAGGCGCGAAAGCGUGGGGAGCAAACAGGAUUAGAUACCCGAGUAGUC
rnacentral:rRNA from 1 species